CCAGCAUGAGGACUGGUUGGGAAAGUGGAGAUGGGAGCCAGCCAGCCACCCCCGGGAAGCUGAGACCCGGCUGAGAGGAGCAGCCAGCACUGCAGCCUUUGCCACACCACCACCCUAGCGUAACCGGUUCAGAGCCCCCCUCCGUUCUCCCAGAUCUCUGGGCAAGGCUGGGCUCAGCCCCUGUUGGGAAAUUGCCAGAGGGUUCUGCACUGUGUUUUACACCCACGCGCUGCCUCUCAGAGCCCCAGUCUAUAGACUCAGGGCAGUGCCGGAGGACUCUGCUACAGACCAAGGGCUUGGGGAUGUGGCUGGAAUGGCGCCCGACUCCUGUGCUUUGCCGCCAUUAGCUGGGGAGCCGCAGAAAAUAUUGCUG